CCCACCGCCCAAACAUUUUGGAUCCACCUGACUCUUUCCUCUUCCUGCUGCCUACGUCUAGCCUGGCAUGGCCAGAGAGAUUGCAAAUACACCUCAGUGUGGAAACAGUGCAAUGUCUAUGUCAAGGGGGCGUUAUCAACAGGCACAGACCAAAAUGCUUACAACCAAUCAGAGCAAAGAAACGUGACCUGUCACUCAAGGAGCUGUCACUGAGCGUGGUGGUGAGAAACAUGGCUGCCUGGUCACAAACGAUCUCAAAUUACAGCUAAACAGUACACUAAAAUGUGAUUCUGAAAACAUUUGAUGCGAGAAAUAGGCAAUGCAGUAACGGAAUCUUGAUUCAGAUAUGAUCAGCACUGCCUAGUUUUACAGUUUGAUCCGAGUUUCGGGAGCUGGAUGUGUUGCACUGGAGACAACUGCAGACUAACAGCACCUACAACCAAUCAGAGCAGAGAAACGUGUCUAGAACGGUGACUGUGAUUGGCUCGUCUGUUUCUGGAAAAGAUAUCUCCGAGUAGAGGAGACUGUGUACGUCCAAGGAGGAGACGCACCGCAUCUGCUGCAGAUUUCACCUGAGACAGACCCUCAGCUGAGACCGAAUGGUGGCAUUCAACAGGGGACUCCAGACAAGGAAGGCCAAGGCCAGGCCAGCUCUACGGCAGAGGAUGCAAUGGGGAAGAUUUCACCUGAGACAGACCCUCAGCUCAGACCGAAUGGUGGCAUUCAACAGGAUUGGAGACAGCUAGCUGUCCUGUUGAGGAACCUCCAGGCAGCUCAGACGGAUUGGAGACAGCUAGCUGUCCUGUCGAGGAACCUCCAGGCAGCUCAGACGCAAUCAGCAAAAAGACUGUUGGAAAGUCCAAAGUGCCCAAAAGAAGAGAAGAGCAGGAACCACUAGAGUUACUUGAAGAAGCUGCUGAAAGGGACAAUCCUCGGAGGAAACAAAAACAACAGUGGUCUCUAAAAGAGGUCUCAGCGGUGAUCAGACACUUUAAGAACCUUCCUAAAAAAGAGAGUGAAGUCCAACUCCCUUUGUGUUUGUUGUUCUCAGCCCUCUGAUGAUGGCUGCUGUGCGGCCAAACAGGGAACUGACUGUCACUGUUUUCAAAACAGAAAUAAUUAAACAUGGCUUCUUCUUUACUGAG